UUUUAGGGUUUCGUUUAAUCAAAGGCCGUUGAAGGAGGACGAUUUAAUGGCAGCGAUGACGACGCAAGGGAUGGACCCAACAGUAGUAGACGAUAUAAUUAGACGGCUGACGGAAGUUCGGUCAACCAGGCCAGUGAAACAAGUUUGCUUGAACUCGAAGCACCCAUCAAAAUUUGCAGUGACAUACAUGGGCAAUAUAGUGACUUACUAAGGCUGUUCGAGUACGGGGGUUUUCCUCCUCAUGCUAAUUACCUAUUUCUAGGCGACUAUGUUGAUCGUGGCAAGAAGAGUUUGGAAACUUCUGGAGAUAACUGAGAAGUGGAACAUGGUUUGUCUGUAAAAUUGCAAGUUCAAAAGUUAAUUCUCCAAGCUACAUCACAUGAAAAUUUGUGCCAGAACUAUGUUGGGAAGGCACCUCAACAUAUUUUGAGCAUUGUUUUCGGGUUCAGUAGCAGCAAAUGAUGCCAAUGUGGCUGAGAUUGGUGCGGUGAAGAUUGCUCUAUAAUUUACAGCCAUAAUGUGAAUCUGAUGUCCAUCUAUAAGGGAUUGUCAGAUUAAGUGUCAACCUUAACUAGAA